GCUUGUCUCAAAGAUUAAGCCAUGCAUGUCUAAGUACAAGCCUCAGUAAGGUGAAACCGCGAAUGGCUCAUUAAAUCACACCUAAUCUACUGGAAAGUUACUAGUUACUUGGAUAACUGAGGUAAUUCUUGAGCUAAUACAUGCACUGAAGCCCCGACUCCGGCAACGGCAGAAGGGGUGCUUUUAUUAGAUCAAAACCAAUGGGAGGCGGCCGUCAAAAAGCCGCCACCGUCCUUGAUGGUGACUCUGAAUAACUUUGGCUGAUCGCACGGCUUUAACGCCGGCGACGCAUCUUUCAAAUGUCUGCCUUAUCAACUUUCGAUGGUAGGUUAUGCGCCUACCAUGGUUGCAACGGGUAACGGGGAAUCGGGGUUCGAUUCCGGAGAGGGAGCCUGAGAAACGGCUACCACAUCCAAGGAAGGCAGCAGG
rnacentral:rRNA from 1 species